rnacentral:lncRNA from 1 species
CUUAUUACACUGUACAUUUUACUCUGUAUAUCAUAUUUCAAACUUAUUUAAAAUUGUGUUUCAAACAAAUGUUUCUUUAUACUAAAUUGUUUUAUCAAACCCAUGCCUUCAAACUGUUUUAUAGAUUGACAUCAAGUCGAUCUUUUCUUAAGAUAAUAUUUAUGUUCAAAUGUUUUACAAAACUUAUUUAUGUUUUUAUAUUAUAAAUUGCAUGCCUCUAUAUGUAUAGUUAUAUAAGAAAUGUUUAAAAGACUUAGGAAGGCUAUCCACCCUAUUUCCUUUUCGCGCUUGAGAUGUGGUCUGGUGGGAUAUCGGGUACUCAUCCGAAGGUCGUUUAAAUAUUAGUUAUAUAUCAUGUGUACAUAUAUAGUCAUAAAAGGUCCUUCCAGUUCAUCCCAUGCCCUUGGGUAGCAAGGGUAUACAUCCAUGUCCAUACGUACCAGUUAGAUUACUAGUAAACUACCAUAUGGGUAGUUUAGGAAGAUACUAGAACUAUUACUAGAACGCGAUAUCAUACAAUGAGUCAGUUCAUUCAUGAGUCAAUACUUUCUAGAACAUUACAGUACAUUACAUAUACAACUAUACUAGGAAGAGAACAUAUACAACUAUACUAGAAUGAUUACAUUACUAUACUUGCUAGGUAGAGAGCACGUACAUUACAGCUAGAACAGUUCAUUACAUUACAUAUACAAGAAUACGUUAAUUAUUGUGAUUUAAAUCGGAGCAUGACUUAAAUGUCAUGGCCCGAGUUGUAGCCAGAGUCUCUUGGAGGGAGAGCGUGAGUUUGCGUAUAGAUCUAUACUGGAUUGACUAUCCUACACCUUGCUGCUAGCUACAGCCGGACCUGCAGGUCUGCGGGUGCCAAACGUCAUUCCGUUAUUACGACCAUUCGUAUGUCGUUGUUACCAGUCGAUAGUAUGGUGCAAUUAAUCACAUGAUGCCUUAAUAUAAAUCCGGUUUAAGGUAGUUAGUACAGCAGUAGUUCUUAUAGCGCUACGUUUUAGUACUACAUUAAUUUUCCCUGUACAUAUAUUUAGUGAUCUUUUCACUUAAACUAUAAAUGUAAAAACUAUAUUUUGUUAAUAAUAGUUACACUUGGGAAAAUUACACACUUUUACAAGAAACGAACAUAUAGAACAGUUAAGUCUUGGUAGAAGACUACAUUGAGAACAGUUAGGUCUUGGUAGAAGACACCCUUAUAUAAUAGUAGGAAUCAUAGGGAUUUCUAGAGUUUUUCAAACGUUUACAGUUGUUUUACAAACAUUUUCAUACUUACAGUUCAUAUACAUUUUCAAUACUUACAAUUCAUUUACUUACAAAUUCUUACAUACAAAUUAAGACACUAAAUACUUAUGAUCUCACCAGCUUCAAAGCUGAUACUCGCUUUCAAAAUUACUUGUAUCCUCAGGUCAUCAUAGACAGGUACCGAUGCAAGGAGAAAGGAAGAUGGAGCUUGUUCAAGACUCAUCUUUCAUUUUGAUUUAUGCUUUAGUGUUUAUCAAAAUUUGACAGAACACAUUUGUAUAAUAAUUAUAUUAUUAAUGCAAUGGAUGAUGUUGUUGCUUGUUUACUACUUUACAUUGUUGUGAUACUGUACAUGACGUCCUCCGCCCCAGAACGUUUCCUCCGUUCUUGGUUUUGGGGUGUGAAAGAUUGGUAUCAGAGCAUUGUUUAUAGUGAAUUAAGUAUAUAUCAACCCAUAAAAGAUAUACUAACUAUAAAUACAUAAGGGAUUAAAAAUACUCUAACCAAGAGUUUAUACUUUAAAUAAUAUACGUGCCUGCAUUCAAACUAAAAUCGGUGUCACUAGGACAGUACAAAAGAAUUACGAUUGUUGGGCAACACAAGUGGGCUUAGAGACAUAUGGUCAAAACUGGGAAGAUAUAGCCUGAUCACCUAUAUUAUCCGAGGGUUGACUAGCAUGUGCCGAAGUUUAAUUGUGUGGUUGCAACAAUGCUAAAAUCUUACCAACCCUACCACAAUGAGAACAAUAGAACAUAACAUAAAAAUUAAAAAUACUAUAGGAGUAUUUGGUGUUACUAUAAGUACUUUAUACGUGAGAACUAAAACAGGAUCUUCAUUACUAAGUUGAUAGUUGCUAAGUGGAUACACUGAAGCUAUAUGUAAUUAGGAUGUUAUAGACUUAGAAUCUGUGAAAAUUUUACCUCACCGCUAUUCUGUGUGAAUAUGGAGUUGAGGUCACUUAUUCGAAGGUCUAUCCUGUUUAGAUUACACAUAGCUGGUAUGCACUUCACAAAUAGCGAUGUAACUAAUGAAGGUUUUCCUAAAUAAUUAUCUAGAUAGUUCGUCUAAUAAUUAUUCUUUUACCUUAAAUUCUCGCAUAGAAAACAUAGCUUGACUCCAUCCCCACAGCAACCAGUAUCUUCUGAAUGAAGUCAUAGUUGGUUGAUUUGGAGAAGAACCAGAGAAUGAUCAUCCUAUCCCAUUUGAAUGAUCACCAUGAUGAAGACCUUUCGUAUGAUGCUAACUCCGAACCAGAGGUUGAGAACCUACCCCGACCAGCUCCCUUUCCAAUUCCUAACCCUCGUCCGGCUUUUCAUGGCCCGACCCUGAGUGAGUGGAAUGCUUGGAAACAUGGAGCUAAGGACAAGAUCAGCCUAUGCCAUGUGAUGGAGACCGAAGCUUUUAUGACAUGAGCAAUGGGGGCUCAGCAGAUAGAGUCUUGCCAAUCUUGGUCCGCAGAGUGGCCCGAAAUGAGAUUACAGGUAGGACAGCCCUACAUCAGAUUACCGAAGUUGGCGCCUAUGCUAGAAUGCAUACCCUCCGGACAAUUCAUCUAGAAGAUGCUCACGAGAGAUCAGAGAAUAACCAUGAAACCUUGCUGCAAGCACUGGCUGAAUCACGAGUCGAAGUCAUAGAGCUCCGAGUACACCAGAAGGUGUACGGAAGACACCUACUUGAUGUAGAACGUUAAUUGGCUGAACUGAGAGUUCACCUGAGGGAUGACCGUCGUCAAUAGUAGAUUCUUUACCUUACUUUCCUUGUUAGAAAGUAAUCGUUUUCCGUCUUUGCCUGAUCUGGCAUUUUCUAUGAAAUUAUCUUGUACUGUAAGUACUUUUAGUUAGGUCCUUAUGCUGUUAGGAACUAUCUUCUCUGGAUAUGAUGUAAGACCUUUACAAGGUCAUUUUCCUGAAUCUUUACAUCGUGAAUAUCAAAGAUAUUGACAGCCGGCUAACUUAUGUGUCAUUCUUCAUUCAAGUACUCUUAUCAUACUCUCAUUGGAGUCUAUCUGAAACCUGCUUUUGUCAAGUCAUUGGACUAUAGCAAGUUAGAUCUGGAGACAUUUCCAUGUCUCUUUCAGUGGUUGGAUCAUGUUAGUCACCAACCCACGAUACCUAGGCUGGCACAACAAACGUUUUGAGACCAUUCUACGAACUUACUUCUACCCAUUAUAAAUAUUGUAUCGUAGGGAUGUAAGUGAACCUUCGUGAACAUACUUCCAUUCCGUACUAGGACUACAUCAUAGGGAUGUAGGUCAAACAUUGGAGAACAUAGUCUUACUCUUUUCUUGAACAAUCUAAGUACAUCUAGGGUCAACCUGAAUCGCUCACAAAUCCUUAUCUUUCAUGUUACAGAAUCAUGUCGUCAUCAGGAAACAAUCAGCCGAGCAACGAAACCCCCAUCCUCCAUAUCGACACCGCUACAUUAAAAGUUGCAGUAGCAGCUGCUGUGACAACUUUCCUUACACACAUCAACUCAGGCAACACUAACAAGACUGAAAAAGGAGUCGAGAGUUUAGAUGGUAGUACCAAAUCGGGAAACCAACAAACAGUAACAGUCACUGGCUCGCAAAGCCGAAAGACCGAGAACAAGAAACGAAAGUGUCAAGCCCAGAAAGAACGCAAGAAAUCCCAAAGGCUGGUCAUGCAACAGCAACAAGUGGAAACCCAAGCCAUCCCAGUACCGAGCAGGCCAUACGAGGGAAAACUCCCGAAGUGUGACAAGUGUAGUUUCCAUCAUCAUGGUGCUUGCCAUGAGAUGCAGUGUUGCAAUUGCCUAAAAAUAGGGCACCAUGCUCGUGACUGUGGAGCACCGGCACGACCCAUCACUCAAGUUCCUUUCAUCGGGACUAACCCUACACACGAGAGUAGUUAUAAUGCCGAACGCUUUAGGAACCAAUUUUCAAAGUGGAGUAACGAGGAAGGCACUCGUGUCCACAUAACAUUGGCUAAACACCACAAUCCCGUCACCAAAGCUAGUACUAGCCAGUCAUGCCACCAAUGCGGGGAGAUAGGGCACUUCAAGAAAGAUUUCCCGAUAGAAAAGAAUUCAGGUGGUGAUGGAAAGUUCUUAGGAUCACAGCUGCAGGAGAGCCUACUCCGGAACCCUUGUUAAUGUAACUUAGGCGUGUUGUUGUAACAGACAUAUAAACUAUCCAGAACUAGUGCAACUAGAGUCUUACCUUUUGCGAGAUCUUGUCUAUAUAAGGAUUCUCGUGCUGCGUAUACUUGUCUUUUGUAGUAUAUCUUAUUCGCAGCAAUAGUCUUGUGGUAAAUCUAAAGUACCGUAACUCUGUUCAUGGUUGCACGGUUGUGUUUUGUCUGUAAACGUCUUAUGUUCAAAUCUAAUGUCUUUAAGUUUCAGUAUGAUUCCGACAUUAUCAUACGACUCGAUUCAAGUUGUUCUUCACAAAAACAGCUUCAUAUGUACAUCUCUUUCUUCUAGAUCGCUUUUCCAGCGAAGUCGUUAUAUCAAAACACCGAAGUACUUAUGCAUGGAGUACCUCCUAGUUCUUUUCUUUUCCGAAGAAACCCCCGAAGUACCACUCGUGCAGUACGUCAAGUUCAAUCUAAGGAUUUAUACGAUUGAUCUAUCACUGAGAAAUGUAUGAAUAAGAGUGAUAUAUAUAAUCAAGGUUCUACAGGUUUAGAAUUGAUGAUUCCACUUUAACUUCUGUUUCCCCAAUGGGAUGUGAGCUUAAAGAAGAAUUAGUUAUUCGACUACCUUUUCAAUCUUAAUUAUAUACGACUCGUAUACACGAAAUUGUGAUUGUGAAACCAGGUAUGAAUCCUAAUAUGAACUUCAGGACGGAGAACUGCCUAAGCCUACGAGUAAUUGCAUCGUCAUGUGAACAAACUUAGAACCCAGUACGACUCUUGUAAACAGAUCACCCUAUAGUCUAAACACCCACGGAGAUACCAGAACAGUACAAACAACUUAGCAAACUGCACAACGAUAGAAUAAGAAGACUAGGCUUCUCACCCUGGAGAACCCCAAGUCUUAUUCUCCAAGAGAUCAGCGGAUUGCAUCGUAUGUGCCUCGGAUAUCGAGGACUCCGUCAAGAUUUCAUGGAAAUCGUUAUCUCUGCCUCGCAUUGAUGAAAUGGUUGAGCAAACUCAAGGAAAGAAUUUCUUUCAGAAAUGGAUAUGAGAUCCGAAUAUCACCAGUUCGAGUUUUAGGGAAGGAUGUCCAGAAGACUAUCUUCCGAACUCGAUGCGGACACUUCGAGUCCGUAGAGAUACCCUUCGGAUAGGACCAAUACGCCCAUAGCUUUCAUAAGCUAAAUGAGUAGGGUACGUCUUUCUUACUUGGAUCAAUUCGUCAUUUCUCCAUGUAAUGACUUACUUUUCUACCCUCGUAGUAAGAAGAAAACCCAUGGAAACAUUUCCUACAGAGGAACUUUAGCGAAGUUCUCUAGGCACGAGUUUUGAAAUUGAAGAGUCAAAUUUCUAUGACACACUGUUAGUAAUGUGAGAAAUUAUGAGCACUCUUUCAAUUUGUCAAAACCGUUGAGCAUUUAUCGACACUAGAGACGCUGACAGUCCUUCACCAAAUUUUAGGUCUUACCGACCUACCGUCUUAGUUCAUUCAGAACUCCUCGCAAAUUACAGAAACCCGUACGACUUUGACCUAGCAAGGGGUGGCCUUUGACUGGGAAGUUAAGCAAUAAGAGGAACCUUUGGAAUUCCAAGUGAGUGACCAAGCUCUUUAGGUUAACUCACUCUGUGAAUGGCUUAAUACGCUUCGUAUCGCGUGGAAAGCUAAAUCCAAUAUAGUUAGGACCUCCGAGAUCCUCAUCAGAAUCGGUCAUGUGCCUCGCACAAACUAGACCUACUCCGCGAACUCAGUAACGUACAUCCUACUCUUCGCGUCUUGAUCGUGGAACCAUACCUUUCCGUUAGGACUCUUGUAAGUCCACUCGUCGAGAUCCUCGCCUUCGUAUUAGAACCGUAGUGACCCUCGACUGAGAGGUCCAGCGGACGAAGCAACGUCGUCGCCAGUUAGUGAAGGUUCGUUGGAAUGGCAACGGAGAACCCGAUUUCACUUAAGUGCGAGAACCAAUCGAUUAAGGAAGUUUCCCCCUCACGACUCGAUCAUUCGUGCGUACUUCCUUGCCUAAAUUCUAAUUUCGGGACGAAAUUCCCAUGAACAGGGGAAUGAUGUGACAACCCGAAAUUUCCAUUCUGAACAAACCAUAUCAAGCCAAUAGAAGUAGAACAGUUACAGUGAAAACUCAGAUGUCGAGUAUAAGUUUGGCAGUUUUAAGGAUUUUACACUUAAGGAGAUAUUAGGAGAGUGGAUGCACUAGGGUUUUGUGCAACAUUGUUAUUCAAAUACUCUAGUAUAUUAGAGUUCAUUCCGAGAAUAGAAAUAUUUUCUGCCAAAAAUCCCAGGACUAUAAAUAGAAUUCUGAACCAAGUUGGUUCAUUAGUUGAAUUCCAAUUAUAGAAAAGCAAAAUUCACUCUCACGGAUCUUCGGGUUUUUAUCACAAAUUGUGAGUAACUCUUUCUAGUAGUGUUAGAAAGCUUUAAAUGUGUUCAUAACACAGAUUACAUAGCUAAAUCAUCCGAUUUAGGAGUUUACUCCCCAAGGUGUUCUUGGGUGGUAAACUCCCGAAACCAAGCCUAGAUUGUCCCCCGUGAUGUAGUACUGCCUUGGACUUGUAUAGGAGUGUAUUAGGGACAUGAAAUCAACCAAGAAUCACCCAAGUUUGGGAGUUCACGGCCCAAGAAUAUCUUAGGCCGUAAACUCCAAGAAUAGUGCUCAAAAUGGUGCUUUUAAGGCACCCAAGGCUUAGACUUUAUUUUAGACAUGUACCCUAAAGUGUUUAAAGCCUAGAAAACAUAAGAAAUCACUAUUAUCGAGGAGUUUAUGGCCAAGAAUAGUUCUUGGGCCGUAAACACCUAUGAUGGGGUCAAAUGACACCCUAACUCCUUCCUUAAGCCAAGAGACCAAUUUGGGCGUGUACCUAAAUGAGUUUUGGACUAGCUAACACACUUAGAACACCAAGAGUGAGGGAGUUUACGGCCCAAAAGGUUCUAGGGCCGUGAACUCCAUAAAAUGGUGCCAAAUGGUGCCAUAAACUCUUCUAAAGCCAAGUACAAAAGCCUAGUUUAGUUCCUAGUUAAUUUAGAGACUUGAAAACACCAUAACCACCCUCCCAAGGGAGUUUACGGCCGUAAACUCCAAGGGUAUAUGGUCCCUGGGCCGUAAACUCCUUAAAGGAGUUAAUAUGACACCCAAACACUUGAUUUAGCCUUGAAACAAUUCACCACAUGAGUUGUAUAAUUGUUUGACUUCAUUUAGGGCUUUGUUGAGAGUUUACAGCCAGGAGUUUACUCCCCUGGGCCGUAAACUCCAAGACAUAUGGUAAUUUGACCAUAGAGUUCCAUUAGAGGCAUUGCACUCCUUUGUUGCAACGCAUUAGCCUCCUAACACUUGACCAAAAGUGUUUUCUUCGCGUUUAAAUGUUUAUACUUGUAUAAUUAGUGUUUUAAUCACUAUUUAUUUAUAUACAUAUGUCUUCAUAUGAAAUUAGGAUCAUUGUGUGUGUCUAAGGUCUUCACUUGACACCAAGCACUUGCCCGAUCCUUCCUUACAAUAACAGUCCGUUCAAUUCCAGUCACUUACUGCAGGUGAGUUCAUACCCCUUAACUAAUAUUUUAAGCUAUUUUUAAAUGUUUUAUGGGGGGGUGAUACAAGUAGAAUCAUGCUAGUUAUUAUAUCAAUCACAUGUGAUUAAUAUACAGCAUUCAAACGAUUUGGCUACUCAUUAGCCGUUUUACCAAACAAUUUCCUUCCAAUGAUUUUUAUAAAUACUUUAUAUGUUUUGAACUCCUCAUUACGCUGUACAUUUUACUAUGUAUACCAUAUUUCAAACUUAUUUACAAUUGUGUUUCAAACAAAUGUUUCUUUAUACUAAACUGUUUUAUCAAACCCAUGCCUCAAACUGUUUUAUAGAUUGACAUCAAGUCGAUCUUUUCUUAAGAUAAUAUUUAUGUUCAAAUGUUUUACAAAACUUAUUUAUGUUUUUAUAUUAUAAAUUGCAUGCCUCUAUAUGUAUAGUUAUAUAAGAAAUGUUUAAAAGACUUAGGAAGGCUAUCCACCCUAUUUCCUUUUCGCGCUUGAGAUGUGGUCUGGUGGGAUAUCGGGUACUCGUCCGAAGGUCNUGUGGUCUGCUGGGAUAUCGGGUACUCAUCCGAAGGUUGUUUAAAUAUUAGUUAUAUAUCAUGUGUACAUAUAUAGUCAUAAAGGCCCUUCCAGUUCAUCCCAUGCCCUUAGGUAGCAAGGGUAUACAUCCAUGUCCAUACGUACGUUUAGAUUACUAGUAAACUUCCAUAUGGGUAGUUUAGGGAGAUACUAGAACUAUUACAAGAACGCGAUAUCAUACAAUGAGUCAGUUCAUUCAUGAGUCUAUACUUGCUACAUAGAGAGCACAUACAUUACAGCUAGAAGAUUUCAUUACUACGAGUACAUAUAAAACUAUACUAGAGAAUAACAUAUACAACUAUACUAGAAUGAGAACUUAUACAACGAUACUAGAACGAUUACAUUACCAUACUUGCUAGGUAGAGAGCACAUACAUUACAGCUAGAACAGUUCAUUACAUUACACUUACAUUAAUAUGUUCAUAAAAUUGUGAUCCACUGUGUCGGAGCAUGCCUUAAAUGUCAUGGCCCGAGUUGUAGCCAGAGUCUCUUGGAGGGAGAGCGUGAGUUUGCGUAUAGAUCUAUACUGGAUUGACUAUCCUACACCUUGCUGCUAGCUACAGCCGGAUCUGCAGGUCUGUGGGUGCCAAACGUCAUUCCGUUAUUACGACCAUUCGUAUGUCGUUGUUACCAGUCGAUAGUAUGGUGCAAUUAAUCAUAUGAUGCCUUAAUAUAAAUCUGUUUUAAGGUAAUUAGUACUGCAUUAGUUCUUAUAGCGCUACGAUUUAGUACUACAUUAAUUUUCCCUGUACACAUAUUUAGUGAUCUUUUCACUUAAACUAUAAAUGUAAAAACUAUAUUUUGAUAAUGAUAGUUACACUUGGGAAAAUUACACACUUUUACAAGAGACGAACAUAUAGAACAGUUAAGUCUUGGUAGAAGACUACAUUGAGAACAGUUAGGUCUUGGUAGAANAAGUCUUGGUAGAAGACUCCCUGUUAUAAUAGUAGGGAUCAUAGGGAUUUCUAGGGUUUUUCAAAUGUUUACAGUUGUUUUACAAACAUUUUCAUACUUACAGCUCCUAUACAUUUUCAAUACUUACAAUUCAAUUACUUACAAAUUCUUACAUACAGAUUAAGACACUAAAUACUUAUGAUCUCACCAGCUUCAAAGCUGAUACUCGCUUUCAAAAUUACUUGUAUCCUCAGGUCAUCAUAGACAGGUACCGAUGCAAGGAGAAAGGAAGAUGGAGCUUGUUCAAGACUCAUCUUUCAUUUUGAUUUAUGCUUUAGUGUUUAUCAAAAUUUGACAGAACACUUGUAUUAUAAUUCUAUUAUUAAUGCAAUGGAUGAUGUUGUUGCUUGUUUACUACUUUUCAUUGUUGUGAUACUGUACAUGACGUCCUCCGCCCCAGAACGUUUCCGCCGUUCUUGGUUUUGGGGUGUGAAAGAUUGGUAUCAGAGCAUUGUUUAUAGUGAAUUAAGUAUAUCAACCCAUAAAAGAUAUACUAACUAUAAAUACAUAAGGGAUUAAAAAUACUCUGACCAAGAGUUUAUACUUUAAAUAAUAAAAUAUUUAAGUAAGUAUACGUGCCUGCAUUCAUACUAAAAUCGGUGUCACUAGGACAGUACAAAAGAAUUACGAUUGUUGGGCAACACGAGUGGGCUUAGAGACAUAUGCUCAAAACUGGGAAGAUAUAGCCUGAUCACCUAUCCGAGGGUUGACUAGCAUGUGCCUAAGUUUAAUUGUGUGGUUGCAAAAAUGCUAAAAUCUUACCAACCCUACCACAAUGAGAACAAUAGAACAUAACAUAAAAAUUAAAAAUACUAUAGGAGUCUUUGGUGUUACUAUAAGUACUUUAUACGUGAGAACUAAAACAGGAUCUUCAUUACUAAGUUGAUAGUUGCUAAGUGGAUACACUGAAGCUAUAUGUAAUUAGGAUGUUAUAGACUUAGAAUCUGUGAAAAUUUUACCUCACCCCUAUUCUGUGUGAAUAUGGAGUUAAGGUCACUUAUUCGAAGGUCUAUCCUGUUUAGAUUACACAUAGCUGGUAUGCACUUCACAAAUAGCGAUGUAACUAAUGAAGGUUUUCCUAAAUAAUUAUCUAGAUAGCUCGUCUAAUAAUUAUUCUUUUACCUUCAAUUCUCGCAUAGAAAACAUAGCUGGACUCCAUCCCCACGGCAACCAGUACCUUCUGAAUGAAGUCAUAGCUAGUUGGUUUGGAGAAGAACCAGAGAAUGAUCAUCCUAUCCCUUUUCAAUGAUCACCAUGAUGAAGACCUUUCGUAUGAUGCUAACUCCGAACCAGAGGUUGAGAACCUACCCCAAGCAGCUCCCUUUCCAAUUCCUAACCCUCGUUCGGCUUUUCUUGGCCCGACCCUGAAUGAGUGGAAUGCUUGGAAACAUGGAGCCAAGGACAAGAUCAGCCUAUGCCAUGUGAUGGAGACCGAAGCUUUUACGACUUGAGCAAUGGGGGCUCAGCAGAUAGAGUCUUUGCAAUCUUGGUCCACAGAGCGGCCCGAAAUGAGAUUCAAGGCAGGACAGCCCUACAUCAGAUUACUGAAGUUGUCGCCUAUGCUAGAAUGCAUACCCUCUACACCAUUCGUCUAGAAGAUGCUCAUGAGAGAUCAGAGAGAAACCAUGAAACCUUGCUGCAAGCGCUGGCUGAAUCACGAGCCGAAGUCAUAGAGCUCUGAGUACACCAGAAGGUGUACGAAAGACACCUACUUGAUGUAGAACAUCAACUGGCUGAACUGAGAGUUCACCUGAGGGAUGACCGUCGUCAAUAGUAGAUUCUUUACCUUGCUUUCCUUGUUAGAAAGUAAUCGUUUUCUGUCUUUUUCUGAUGUGGCAUUUUCUAUGAAAUUAUCUUGUACUGUAAGUACUUUUAUUUAGGUCCUUAUGUUGUCAGGAACUAUCUUCUCUGGAUAUGAUGUAAGACCUUUACAAGGUCAUUUUCCUGAAUCUUUACGUCGUGAAUAUCAAAGAUAUUGAUAGCCGGCUAACUUCUGUGUCAUUCUUCAUUCAAGUACUCUUAUCAUACUCUUAUUGGAGUGUAUCUGAAACCUGCAUUAGUCAAGUCAUUAGACUAUAGCAAGUUAGAUCUGGAGACAUUUCCAUGUCUCUUUCAGUGGUUGGAUCAUGUUAUUCACCAACCCACGAUACCUCGGCUGGCACAACAAAUGUUUUGAGACCAUUCUACGAACUUGCUUCUACCCAUUAUAAAUAUUGUAUCAUAGGGAUGUAGGUGAACCUUCGCGAACAUACUUCCAUUCCGUACUAGGACUACAUCAUAGGGAUGUAGGUCAAACAUUCGAGAACAUAGUCUUACUCUUUUCUUGAACAAUCUAAGUACAUCUAGGGUCAACCUUAAUCGCUCACAAAUCCUUAUCUUUCAUGUUACAGAAUCAUGUCAUCAUCAAGAAACAAUUAGCCGAGCAACGAAACCCCCAUCCUCCAUAUCGACACCGCUACAUUACAAGCUGCAGUAGCAGCUGCUGUGACAACUUUCCUUACACACAUCAACUCAGGCAACACAAACAAGACUGAAAAAGGAGUCGAGAGUUUUGGAUGGUAGUACCAAACCGGGAAACAAACAAACAGUAACGGUCACUGGCUCGCAAAGCCGAAAGACCGAUAACAAGAAACGAAAGUGUCAAGCCCAGAAAGAACGCAAGAAAUACCAAAGGCUGGCUAUGCAACAGCAACAAGUGGAAACCCCUGCCAUCCCAGUACCGAGCAGGCCAUACGAGGGAAAACUCCCGAAGUGUGAUAAGUGUAGUUUCCAUCAUCAUGGGGCUUGCCAUGAGAUGCAGUGUUCCAAUUGCCUAAAAAUAGGGCACCAUGCUCGUGCCUGUGGAGCACCGGCACGAUCCAUCACUCAAGUUCCUUUCGUCGGGACUAACCCUACACACGAGAGUAGUUAUAACGCCGAACGCUUUAGGAAGCAAUUUUCAAAGUGGAGUAACGAGGAAGGCACUCCUGUCCAGAUAACAUUGGCUAAACACCGCAAUCCCGUCACCAAAGCUAGUACUAGCCAGUCAUGCCACCAAUGCGGGGAGAUAGGGCACUUCAAGAAAGAUUGCCCGAUAACAAAGAAUUCGGGUGCUGAUGGAAAGAUUCUUAGGAUCACAGCUGCAGGAGAGCCUACCCCGGAAUCCUUGUUAAUGUAACUUAGGCGUGUUGUUGUAACAGACAUAUAAACUAUCCAGAACUAGUGAAACUAGAGUCUUACCUUUUGCGAGAUCUUGUCUAUAUAAGGAUUCUCGUGCUGCGUAUACUUGUCUUUUGUAGUAUAUCUUAUUCGCAGCAAUAGUCUUGUGGUAAAUCUAAAGUACUGUAACUCUGUUCAUGGUUGCACGGUUGUGUUUUGUCUGUAAACGUCUUAUGUUCAAAUCUAAUGUCUUUAAGUUUCAGUAUGAUUCCGACAUUAUCAUACGACUCGAUUGAAGUUGUUCUUCACGAAAACAACUUCAUACGUACAUCUCUUUCUUCUAGAUCGCUUUUCCAGUGAAGCCGUUAUAUCAAAACACCGAAGUACUCAUGCAUGAAGUACCUCCUAGUUCUUUUCUUUUCCGAAGAAACCCCCGAAUUACCACUCGUGCAGUACGUCAAGUUCAAUCUAAGAAUUUAUACGAUUGAUGUAUCACUGAGAAAUGUAUGCAUAAGAGUGAUAUAUAUAAUCAAGGUUCUACAGGUUUAGAAUUGAUGAUUCCACUUUAACUUCUGUUUCCCUAAUGGGAUGUGAGCUUAAAGAAGAAUCAGUUAUUCGACUACCGUUUCAAUCUUAAUUAUAUACGACUCAUAUACACGAAAUUGUGAUUGUGAAACCAGGUAUGAAUCCUAAUAUGAACUUCAGGAAUGAGAACUACCUAAGCCUACGAGUAAUCGCGUCGUCAUGUGAACAAACUUAGAACCCAGUACGACUCUUGUAAACAGAUCACCCUAUAGUCUAAACACCCACGGAGAUACCGGAAUAGUACAAACAACUUAGCGAACUGCACAACGAUAGAAUAAGAAGACUAGGCUUCUCACCCUGGAGAACCCCCAGUCUUAUUCUCCCAGAGAUCGGCGGAUUGUAUCGUAUGUGCCUCGGAUAUCGAGGACUCCGUCAAGAUUUCAUGGAAAUCGUUAUCUCUGCCUCGCAUUGAUGAAAUGGUUGAGCAAACUCAAGGAAAGAAUUUCUUUUAGAAAUGGAUCUGAGAUCCGAAUAUCACCAGUUCGAGUGUUAGGGAAGGAUGUCCAGAAGACUAUCUUCCGAACUCGAUGCGGACACUUUGAGUCCGUAGUGAUACCCUUCGGAUAGGACCAAUACGCCCAUAGCUUUCAUGAACUAAAUGAGUAGGGUACGUCUUUCUUACUUGGAUCAAUUCGUCAUUUCUCCAUGUAAUGACUUACUUAUCUACCCUUGUAGUAAGAAGAAAACCCAUGUAAACAUUUCUUACAGAGGAACUUUAGCGAAGUUCUCUAGGCACGAGUUUUGAAAUUGAAGAGUCAAAUUUCUAUGACACACUGUUAGUAAUGUGAGAAAUUAUGAGCACUCUUUCAAUUUGUCAAAACCGUUGAGCAUUUAUCGACACUAGAGACGCCGACAGUCCUUCACCAAAUUUUAGGUCUUACCGACCUACCGUCUUAGUUCAUUCAGAACUCCUUGCAAAUUACAGAAACCCGUACGACUUUGACCUAGCAAGGGGUGGCCUUUGACUGGGAAGUUAAGCAAGAAGAGGAACCUUUGGAAUUCCAAGUCAGUGACCAAGCUCUUUAGGUUAACUGACUCUGGGAAUGGCUUAAUACGCUUCGUAUCGCGUGGAAGGCUAAAUCCAAUAUAGUUAGGACCUCCGAGAUUCUCAUCAGAAUCAGUCAUGUGCCUCGCACAAACUAGACCUACUCCGCGAACUCAGUAACGUACAUCCUACUCUUUGCGUCUUGAUCGUGGAACCAUACCUUUCUGUUAGGACUCUUGUAAGUCCACUCAUCGAGAUCCUCGCCUUCGUAUUAGAACCAUAGUGACCCUCGACCGAGAGGUCCAACGGACAAAGCAACGUCGUCGCCAGUUAGUGAAGGUUCGUUGGAAUGGCAACCGAGAACCCGAUUUCACUUAAGUGCGCUAGAACCAAUCGAUUAAGGAAGUUUCCCCCUCACGACUCGAUCAUUCGUGCGUACUUCCUUGCCUAAAUUCUAAUUUCGGGAUGAAAUUCCCUUCAACAGGGGGAUGACGUGACAACCCGAAAUUUCCAUUCAGAACAAACAAUAUCAAGCCAAUANNNNNNNNNNNNNNNNNNNNNNNNNNNNNNNNNNNNNNNNNNNNNNNNNNNNNNNNNNNNNNNNNNNNNNNNNNNNNNNNNNNNNNNNNNNNNNNNNNNNNNNNNNNNNNNNNNNNNNNNNNNNNNNNNNNNNNNNNNNNNNNNNNNNNNNNNNNNNNNNNNNNNNNNNNNNNNNNNNNNNNNNNNNNNNNNNNNNNNNNNNNNNNNNNNNNNNNNNNNNNNNNNNNNNNNNNNNNNNNNNNNNNNNNNNNNNNNNNNNNNNNNNNNNNNNNNNNNNNNNNNNNNNNNNNNNNNNNNNNNNNNNNNNNNNNNNNNNNNNNNNNNNNNNNNNNNNNNNNNNNNNNNNNNNNNNNNNUUGAUACCAUAUUGGAUUCAAUUAUUAUUGUGUUUCACUUUGCAUGUUUUGACUUCCCGAAUAAACUAGGUUAUUCUUCCGGAAUGACUAAGUUAUUCAAACCAUCCACAGUCGGUCAUAUGUUGGAAGUAGAUAUGAAUUAAGACUGUCAUGGGUUGGCUUGUAGAGGUCUAAGGUGUUGGACAAAGGGCUACAACACUCAUGAGUGCUCAUAAGUUCUGAGUAUUGGAUUCAACCCGCGCUCAUUGGAAUCACUUCAUGGAUUUUAUCACGAGUGAUCAUGAGACGAUAAUAUCUUAUAUUCUUCAAACCUAGAGAUAUGAGUUGUUACUAUGAGUUGGUUGUACAUUGAUUGCACGAAAACGCAUUUGGUAACUCGGUGCUAUAAAACGUGCCUUUGUGUAUGAUUCAACAAGUAGUAGAACAAGCCAUAUGAGUCGAAGUUUAUCCAUUCCUUUUACCUUCGGGAUAAAAGCGAUAUCUGUGGGCCCCUCGAUGAUUUGAUGAUGACAAAUGGAAGUGCUCGGCCGGGCCAGGACUGAUUUGAUUUGUUCAAUUAGUCAGUCGUCAUAAAUCGGAAAUCGGGAAACAACAAAUGGACAGAGAGAAUGAUUAUAAUCCAUGUCUCAGUCCAUAUGAUAUCUAGAAUGGAGGAAUAUAUGAUCCCUUAUCUAAUGGACAAGUUCGUUGACAAGAUCAGAGUUCGACAGCAGCUUUAAGAGCUACGAUUGCCAGUUAGGUUUGAAGUCAUACGCAAUAAUAGUUUUAGACUUAUCCAAGUGGGAGACUGUUGGAUUAAUGUCUAAGUCCAUAACUAUAUUUGGUAUGUACUUGACCCGACCCGGCAUGGUCCAUUUGGGUUGCACUUCACCGACACAAUUUAUAUGGAUAAUCUUUUGAGAAUAGUAUGUUUAUGAUUAAUAUUAAUAUAUUAUAAGUUCUAAUAUAUUAAUAUGGAAUCAUAUUAUUUAAUUAGUAUUGAUCAAGAAUUAAUUUAUAAUUAAUUAAGUGAUCAAAAGGAACUAAUUAAAUAUGGACUCUUAUAUAUAUGGAAUGGGCCAAGUUCAUUUAGGUUGGGCUAAGCUUUCAUGGAUAGUCCAUGGAGUGUUUAACCCAUGGAUCCUAGGAAAUGAAAGGUCAUGGGUAUUAGGGUUUAACCCUAAUCCUCCAUACUAUAUAAAGAUGUCUUUGGUUGGUGAAAUUGGCACUAGUGUGGAUACACUAAAGAAGGGCUAGCCAAUUUCACUAGAGAGAACCAAGUAAUCAUAUUCUCUAAAGUAUUCCAAGGUGUCUUGGUGAUUUGUGAUUCCACUUGAGGCUUCCACACUAUUGGGGCUAAGCUCUUAAAGCUUGAAGACAUCAAGCUACAUCAACAGGUAUGUAUUCUAUCUUGUUACAUUUAUAGUUUUUGUAUGCUAGAUUAGGAUAAUACCUUGGAUGUUCUUAUUUGCAUGUAUAAUAGAGAAAACAUAGAUCCAAGGUAUUUAGGGUUGCAUGUACACUUAGGAAGUGUUAGAAUGCUCAAAACCCAACAGUUCUUGGGCGGUAAACUCCCGAAACCAAGCCUAGAUUGACCCCCGUGAUGUACUACUGCCUUGGACUUGUAUAGGAGUGUAUUACGGACAUAAAAUCAACCAAGAAUCACCCAAGUUUGGGAGUCCACGGCCCAAGAAUAUCUUAAGCCGUAAACUUCAAGAAUAGUGCUCAAAAUGGUGCUUUUAAGGCACCCAAGGCUAAGACUUUAUUUUAGACAUGUACCCUAAAGUGUUUAAAGCCUAGAAAACAUAAGAAAUCACUAGUAUUGAGGAGUUUAUGGCCAAGACAAGUUCUUGGGCCGUAAACACCUAUAAAGGGGUCAAAUGACACCCUAACUCCUUCCUUAAGCCAAGAGACCAAUUUGGGCAUGUACCUAAAUGAGUUUUGGACUAGCUAACACACUUAGAACACAAAGAGUAAGGGAGUUUACGGCCCAAAAGGUUCUAGGGCCGUGAACUCCAUAAAAUGGUGCCAAAUGGUGCCAUAAACUCUUCUAAAGCCAAGUACAAAAGCCUAGUUUAGUUCCUAGUUAAUUUAGAGACUUGAAAACACCAUAACCACCCUCCCAAGGGAGUUUACAGUCGUAAACUCCAAGGGUAUAUGAUCCCUGGGCUGUAAACUCCUUAAAGGAGUUAAUAUGACACCCAAACACUUGAUUUAGCCUUGAAACAAUUCACCACAUGAGUUGUAUAAUUGUUUGACUUCAUUUAGGGGCUUUGUUGAGAGUUUACGGCCAGGAGUUUACUCCCCUGGGCCGUAAACUCCAAGACAUAUGGUCAUUUGACCAUAAACUUCCAUUAGAGGCAUUGCACUCCUUUGUUGCAACCCAUUAGCCUCCUAACACUUGACCAAAAUUGUUUUCCUCGCGUUUAAAUGUUUAUACUUGUAUAAUUAGUGUUUUAAUCACUAAUUAUUUAUAUACAUAUGUCUUCAUAUGUAAUUAGGAUCAUUGUGUGUGUCUAAAGUCUUCACUUGACACCAAGCACUUGUCCGAUCCUUCCUUACGAUAACAGUCCGUUCAAUUCCAGUCACUUACUGCAGGUGAGUUCAUACCCCUUAACUAAUGUUUUAAACUAUUUUUAAAUGUUUUAUGGGGGGAUACAAGUAGAAUCAUGCUAGUUAUUAUAUCAAUCACAUGUGAUUAAUAAGUAGAAUUAUGCUAGUUAUUAUAUCAAUCACAUGUGAUUAAUAUGCAGCAUUCAAAUGAUUUACUACACAUUAGCCGUUUUACCAAACAGUUUCCUUCAAAUGAUUUUUAUAAACAUUUUAUAUGUUUUAAACUCCUUAUUACACUGUACAUUUUACUCUGUAUAUUACAUUUCAAACUUAUUUACAAUUGUGUUUCAAACAAAUGUUUCUUUAUACUAAACUGUUUUAUCAAACCCAUGCCUUCAAACUGUUUUAUAGAUUGACAUCAAGUCGAUCUUUUCUUAAGAUAAUAAUUAUGUUCAAAUGUUUUACAAAACUUAUUUAUGCUUUUAUAUUAUAAAUUGCAUGCCUCUAUAUGUAUAGUUAUAUAAGAAAUGUUUAAAAGACUUAGGAAGGCUAUCCACCCUAUUUCCUUUUCGCGCUUGAGAUGUGGUAUGGUGGGAUAUCAGGUACUCGUCCGAAGGUCGUUUAAAUAUUAGUUAUAUAUCAUGUGUACAUAUAUAGUCAUAAAGGCCCUUCCAGUUCAUCCCACGCCCUUGGGUAGCAAGGGUAUAUAUCCAUGUCCAUACGUACUAGUUAGAUUACUAGUAAACUACCAUAUGGGUAGUUGAGGAAGAUACUAGAACUAUUACAAGAACGCGAUAUCAUACAAUGAGUCAGUUCAUUCAUGAGUCUAUACUUGCUAGAUAGAGAGCACAUACAUUACAGCUAGAAGAUUUCAUUACUACGAGUGCAUAUACAACUAUACUAGAGAAGAACAUAUACAACUAUACUAGAAAGAGAACAUAUACAACGAUACUAGAAUGAUUACAUUACUAUACUUGCUAGGUAGAGAGCACGUACAUUACAGCUAGAACAGUUCAUUACAUUACACUUACAUUAAUACGUUCAUAAAAUUGUGAUCCACUGUGUCGGAGCAUGCCUUAAAUGUCAUGGCCCGAGUUGUAGCCAGAGUCUCUUGGAGGGAGAGCGUGAGUUUGCGUAUAGAUCUAUAUUGGAUUGACUAUCCUACACCUUGCUGCUAGCUACAGCCGGACCUGCAGGUGUGCGGGUGCCAAAUGUCAUUCCGUUAUUACGACCAUUCGUAUGUCGUUGUUACCAGUCGAUAGUAUGGUGCAAUUAAUCACAUGAUGCCUUAAUAUAAAUCC